UACAGAGGUCUCAAGCGUUGUUCGGAUUCAUUGGGCGUAAAGGGUGCGUAGGCGGCGUGGUAAGUCGGGUGUGAAAUCUCGGAGCUUAACUCCGAAACUGCAUUCGAUACUGCCGUGCUUGAGGACUGGAGAGGAGACUGGAAUUUACGGUGUAGCGGUGAAAUGCGUAGAUAUCGUAAGGAAGACCAGUGGCGAAGGCGGGUCUCUGGAAAGUUCCUGACGCUGAGGCACGAAGGCCAGGGGAGCAAACGGG
rnacentral:rRNA from 1 species